rnacentral:ncRNA from 1 species
CUAUGGACUUAAUUGGAUUGAGCCUUGGUAUGGAAACUUACUAAGUGAUCACUUUCAAAUUUAGAGAAACCCUGGAACGAACAAAAAUGGCUAAUCCUAAACCAAAUCCUAUGUUAUGAAGACAAAUAAAGGUAAAUAAAAAAGGAUAGGUGCGGAGACUCAAUGGAAGCUAUUCUAACAAAUGAAGUUAAAUGUGUUGGUAGAGGAAUCUUUACAUCGAAACUUGAGAAACAAAAAGAAUAAAGUGAAGGAUAAACAUAUAUACAUAUAUUUUGAAUACUAUAUCAAAUGAUUAAUGACGACCCAAAUCCCUAUUUUUUCUACAAAAAAAAUAGAAGAAUUGGUGUGAAUCGAUUCUACAUUGAAUAAAGAAUAGAAUAUUCAUUGAUCAAAUCAUUCACUCCAUAGUCUGAUAGAUAUUUUGAAGAACUGAUUAAUCGGACGAGAAUAAAGAUAGAGUCCCAUUCUAUAUGUCAAUACCGG